CUCUCGAUUUACAAAAUGCAAGCGCACUCGUGCGCGUAUUUAUUUAUUUAUUUAUUUAUUUAUUCAAUACUGUGGGCCUUUUCAGGCCUAUACAGGAGAGGGCAUACAAAAUAAGGUGGACUUCAUAUCAGGAAAA
rnacentral:lncRNA from 1 species